CUGAUAGAGGCGCAGUAAAGAUCAUUAGCAAAGCAGAGAUUUCCGCAUCGGCUGUAUGCUUUGUGAAAGGCGAUACUGCCGAAGCUGUGGACACCUGCGGAGGUCUUCACUGCUGAUCUCAGGGUCAACAGCUCUGAGAUUGUCAUCAUAGCUUUAUGAUGGAGUGCUAUCGUA
rnacentral:ncRNA from 1 species